rnacentral:rRNA from 1 species
GACGAACGCCGGCGGCGUGCCUAAUACAUGCAAGUUGAGCGCUGAAGGUUGGUACUUGUACCAACUGGAUUAGCAGCGAACGGGUGAGUAACGCGUGGGUAAUCUGCCUUUGAGCGGGGGACAACAUUUGGAAACGAAUGCUAAUACCGCAUAAAAACUUUAAACACAAGUUUUAAGUUUGAAAGAUGCAAUUGCAUCACUCAAAGAUGAUCCCGCGUUGUAUUAGCUAGUUGGGGAGGUAAAGGCUCACCAAGGCGAUGAUACAUAGCCGACCUGAGAGGGGGAUCGGGCAAAAUGGGAAUGGGACACGGCCCAAAACCCCACGGGAAGCAGCAGUAGGGAAUCUUCGGCAAAGGACGAAAGUCUGACCGGGCAAAGCCGCGUGAGUGAAGAAGGUUUUCGGAUCGUAAAACUCUGUUGGUAGAGAAGAACGUUGGUGGGAGUGGAAAGCUCAUCAAGUGACGGUAACUACCCAGAAAGGGACGGCUAACUACGUG